AGGUCGGAACUUGUAAUAAGAAGUUAGGUUUUGGACUUCACCCCCUGAAAUAAGAAGUCAAGCUUCGCUUCAGCCCCCGAUAACCCUAGCCCUCUUUGUUCCCAUCUUCGCCGCUGAGCACCCUCGUUCCCAUCUUGCCAUCUUCGCCGCUGAGCACCCUCUCUUCGCAGCACGACCCCUCUGAGCACCCUCUCUUCGCCACUGAGCACCCUAAAGCAACGUUCUCUCUCUCCCUGAACUCAAAACUCUCUUAUUGGUUGGUACAGGAAGGAACACCUAGGACUCUUCUCUUCUCAGCUCAUUCACGCCCGGUCAAAAGCUUCCCGUCUCAACAACAUCUAGCCAUCGUCUAUUUUCUUCCCUUUCAUUUCAGGUAGACUUCUCCUUUUUUUUUUUAUCUGGCAAUUUGGUGGUUUGUUUGUUUUUUGUUUAGGCAUUAUUCUUCUUUGAAUUUGUAUCCAUAGAGCGGUAAUCGGCAGCCGCCAUUGACUGUUCUACAGUAAAACCCUAACCCUAAAUCAACGUUCUCUCUCCCCUUGAACUCAAAACUCUCUGUUGUGAGUUUCAAAUCAGUCCCAAAUUCCAAUCUCUCUCUCUCUGUCUCUCUCUCUCUCUCUCACACACACACACACACACACACACACACCAACCCACCAUCAAACCCCCAAUUCAGACCUUUAAUCAGGUACUUGUUUGUUCUCUCUCUCUCUCUACACACACGGUAUUUAUUUGUUUCCAAAUUUUUAUUUUUGUUUCAUGUUUUGGUGUUUUUUGUUGUUACUUGUUUUUUUUUUUUCAUUUUCCUUAUGUUUUUGUUUUUUGGGUGUUGUGUUUAUGCCAAAUGUGAAUUUGGGUUUACUGUAUAUUAGUUAAUUUGCAACAAUCAGGUAUCCCCUAGUUUGCAUUAUGUAUCCCCUAGUUUGCAUUAUGCUCUGUCGUGAUGCUUUUUUUCCUUUGUUGGAAAUAAAUUAUAAUUUUGAUCAAAGUAAAAAACUAGAUCAUAUGAAAUGCUGGGUUUAUGAUUUUUUGUUUUUGUUUGUCUCAAAUUUUGUAUUUUUUUUUGCUUUUGAUUUAUGUCUCUUCUACAUGCUGCUAUGUUGCUUUUGGUUGUUUCUGAUUUUUUCUUUUAGUGCAUUGUGUCGUCCAUUUUUUUUGUAAAAGUUGAAUUGGGUUACAAUAAAUGAGUUAAUUUUUAUGCUUUUUAUGUGUGCCUCUUUUAUUGUGUAACAAUGUGGUUUGGAUGAAAAUUAAGAUUUAUUUUAUUUUCUCCAUUUUAUGGGGUUAUUUUGUGUAAUAUAUAUCGGUUGUUAUGUGGAAAGGUUCCCACUUUCUAGCUUUGUGUAUGUAUUUUUGUUUCUGAAAUCUGGAACUGUAUUAAUUUGAUCAUAUAUUAAAAGUUUAAAAUUUGUUUUAUUCAAUGAUGUCUCUGCUAAUGGUGAUUGUAAUUAGUAUAUAUUUCCUUGUUUUGAAUCUAAAUUAUAUUUUUAUGGGGUUUUUAUGUUUUGAAGUUUUGGUUAAAUUCCGGCUUUUUUUUUGUGGGUUUUUUACCAUUUUCAGACCGUUGUUUUAUCACAUUCGGAGUUUAUGUCGACUUUAGUGCGUAGAUCCUAACCAUUUGAAUGAUAUUAGGGCUUAUUUGGUUGUUGGAUUCUAUUUGGUUUUUUGGGGCAUUUUCACUUGAGAGUAGUUUUUCAACUCUUUUGAUCAUAUAAUUCUAAAUUGGUAAAGUUUUCGUACAACCCAUAUAAGCCACAUUUUUUUUAUAAACAAAACAAAAAUCAGGAUUUUGUUAAAAGUAUUAUUGUAACUAAAAAAAAGAAAAAGUUAUAUGGCUGGUUUUAAAAAUAGAAAAUAAUAAUUAUUGGUCUGUAAUAGUCCACAAAGAAUCAAUUAAAAACAUUUGAUUCAAAUUUACAUGUAAGUUUUGAUUUUUCAGUAGAUAAUUUCUCAUCUUAGGAGUUGAGGGUUCUUAGGCUUUAUAAUUCUAUGGUGAACUCUCCUCUUCUACUCAUGUUUCUUUAAUAAGAAUUUUUUUCAUGUAUUUUUCCCUCAAGAAUAGUGUCUUUUUCUUUGUGCACAUCAAUAAUUGUACAUGCAACUAUAGGUAUUUUUGUUUGAUUUGGUUUAAAGAAAUUUCGUCAUCCCCAAAAUUUCAUGAACACUGAAAGUGCGAAAUCAAGGAUAAGUUUUCGCGAGUGCUUCAUAAUACAAUAUUUAAUGUCAAUCUCUAUCCUUAAGUAGUUUUAAUUAUCACUAUUGGGUUGAGGUUGAAUGUGGUUAACUUGUAACCGACUUCAUUGAACAUUAUAUUGGUUUUUUAUUUGCUUCCUGCCCUUUAUUGGAUUUUCAUUUUCCUUUGAUGUUGAUACUAUGAGUUUGUUAAGGUUUUGGUCCAAUGUUCAUGUCUCUACUGGUAAAGACUCCAGAGCAUUGGUUAAAAAUCGCCUGAGUUGACUCUGGACUUGACGGAGUCGAUUUGGAUUGGGUGGUCUUGGCCAAGUGUGGAUCUUUUGUGUUUAUUUUUUUAGGCACUUGGAAUCUUAUAAAACCUUGUAGGAUCAUAUACCAAGUUGACUUAGCUUGAUAGCAAGUGUUGACUCAUGUAAACAAGAAAUGCAUGAAUUAUUAACAUUUUCAUUUUCUUCACUGAAUGGUUUCAUUUGUUCCAAGUAUUUCAUUGAAAUUGCUUUGCUAAUUUUUUUUGAAAUUGCUUUGUUAUGCAGCUAUGAUGUGGGUUCAUGAUGUCUGAUAUAUUUUUUCUACGAUACACAACUAUGAUGUGGGUUUGUUUAUUUCUUUUUAUGCAAAGAAGAAAUGCAUGAAUUACCGACUUUUUCAUUUUCUUCACUUAAUAGUUUCAUUUGUUCUAAGUAUUUAUUGAAAUUGCUUUGCUAUUUUUUUAAAAAUUGCUUUGAUAUACAGCUAUGAUGUGGGUUCAUGAAAUCAGAUUUUUUUUUUUUAAAUUGCUUUGCAAUGGAUGUGCGGUGCUCAAUACGAUGGACCCAUACACAUGAUCCAAUGCGGCAAAUGAGAGCAUGGGAGUGAAGAGGUCCAUCCAAUGGACAUAGUUAAAAGAGGACUACUAUAUUGAACUAAUGGAGAAGGUGCCAUGAUAAAUAAAUAUGGGUCAAGAAACAAUGAAAGUAGGCUGAAAAGCAAACAUAAGUUCUUAGGACCAUGUACUUUGAUAUCAAGAAACUUAUGAAUGUAUCCGGUUUCGGAUGAGAUGAUCGUAGAAGGAUAGUAACCGUCAAGGUUGCUGUUUGGAAUGACUUCCUAGCGGAGAAUGAAUGGGCAAACAAAUACCAAAACAAGACUUUGCCCGAGUAUUCGGUGCUAAGUAAAUCUGUUAGGGUGGAACGGCAGAUGGGACAUACAAAUCCAUUGGGGGUGGCGUCAGAAUUGAGCCAGAAAGGCCCAACAUUGCAUUAUCUGGUGACCCCCCAUUAGAAGUCUAGGAUGAAUCUAGCUCAUCCUCAUCUGAUGAGCUAGUAUCAUCUGGAUAAAAAAGACGAUGGUCUCAUACUUCGAUAGGAGCACAUCACCGAUCAAAGCAACUCAGGGCAUUGAGACGUUGGCAUGUGACAAGCCUCCAGUAGAGUCCAAGGCUAGGAGAGAUGCCUGUAAAAUUGUUGAAGGCAUGUGGAAAGCAGGCGAAGUUGGUGAUGAUGUCCUUUUAAUGGCUGCAAGGAUCUUCCAAGAUUCUACAAAGGCGGAGAUGUUACUAAACUUGGAGGAUCCAAUGAUACAAAAUGCUUACUUAGAUGACGAGAUAAAAUGCCUUCAAUAGAGUUCUAAUUUCAUAUGUUUAAUUUUAACAUCAAAGACUGUUACUUUCAUUUGUAGGUGGAUGACUUAUGUCAUUUUAAUGUCAAAUAUUGCUUCAUGGUUUGCUUUACAGAUGAUGACUUCUUUCAUUUU